rnacentral:rRNA from 1 species
AAUGAACGUUGGCGGCGUGCCUAACACAUGCAAGUCGAGCGUGAAAGUCCUUCGGGAUGAGUAAAGCGGCGGACGGGUGAGUAACGCGUGAGAAUUUCCCUUUCAGUGAAGAAUACCUUUGAGAAAUUAAAGUUAAUACUGCAUACGUCUCGAUAAGAGAGAAAGAUGGCCUAAUUGCUGUCGCUGAAAGAUAAGCUUGCGUUCUAUUAGCUAGUUGGUGAGGUAAUGGCUCACCAAGGCGAUGAUGGAUAGCCGGCCUGAGAGGGCGAACGGCCACAUUGGAACUUAGACACGGUCCAAACUCCUACGGGAGGCAGCAGUGAGGAAUAUUGCACAAUGGGCGAAAGCCUGAUGCAGCGACGCCGCGUGGAGGAUGAAGGUUUUCGGAUUGUAAACUCCUGUUAAGUGUGAAAAAAGAGUCGUCUUUAAUAGAGGCGAAAGAUGAUGGUAGCACUAGAGAAAGCACCGGCUAACUUCGUGCCAGCAGCCGCGGUAAUACGAGGGGUGCAAACGUUAUUCGGAAUCACUGGGCGUAAAGGGUGCGUAGACGGCAAGAUAAGUCAAUUAUUAAAUCUCCUGGCUUAACCAGGAAUCUGUGGUUGAAACUGACUUGCUUGAGGAUGGAAGAGAGAAGUGGAAUUCUCGGAGUAGCGGUAAAAUGCGUAGAUCUCGAGAGGAACACCGAUGGCGAAGGCAGCUUCUUGGUCCAUUUCUGACGUUGAGGCACGAAAGCGUGGGGAGCAAACAGGAUUAGAUACCCUGGUAGUCCACGCUGUAAACGAUGAUCAUUAGAUGUUGGGUCCGCUUUAGGGCUCAGUGUCGCAGCUAACGCGUUAAAUGAUCCGCCUGGGAAGUACGGUCGCAAGAUUAAAACUUAAAGGAAUUGACGGGGGUCCGCACAAGCGGUGGAACAUGUGGUUUAAUUCGACACUACGCGAGAAACCUUACCUAGACUUGACAUGCAUUUGACUGCUGCGGAAACGUAGCUUUCUAGACUUCGGUUUAGACAUUUGCACAGGUGCUGCAUGGCUGUCGUCAGCUCGUGUCGUGAGAUGUUUGGUUAAGUCCUCUAACGAGCGCAACUCCUAUCACUAGUUGCAACCCUUUAUUGGGGCACUUUAGUGAAACUGCCUGGGAAACCAGGAGGAAGGUGGGAAUGACGUCAAGUCAUCAUGGUCCUUACGUCUAGGGCUACACACGUGUUACAAUGGCCGGUACAAAGAGUUGCAAACUUGUAAAAGUAAGCUAAUCUCAAAAAACCGGUCUAAGUUCGGAUUGAGGUCUGCAAUUCGACCUCAUGAAGUUGAAAUCGCUAGUAAUCGCGCAUCAGAACGGCGCGGUGAAUUCGUUCUCGGACCUUGUACACACCGCCCGUCACACCAUGAGAGUUUUUUAUACCCGAAGUUGUUUUAGCUAACCGUAAGGAGGCGGACAGUGACGGUAUGGGAGAUGAUUGGGGUGAAGUCGUAACAAGGUAAAU